AGUGAACGCUGGCGGUAGGCCUAACACAUGCAAGUCGAACGGCAGCACAGUAAGAGCUUGCUCUUACGGGUGGCGAGUGGCGGACGGGUGAGGAAUACAUCGGAAUCUACUUUUUCGUGGGGGAUAACGUAGGGAAACUUACGCUAAUACCGCAUACGACCUACGGGUGAAAGCAGGGGAUCUUCGGACCUUGCGCGAUUGAAUGAGCCGAUGUCGGAUUAGCUAGUUGGCGGGGUAAAGGCCCACCAAGGCGACGAUCCGUAGCUGGUCUGAGAGGAUGAUCAGCCACACGGGAACUGAGACACGGUCCAGACUCCUACGGGAGGCAGCAGUGGGGAAUAUUGGACAAUGGGCGCAAGCCUGAUCCAGCCAUACCGCGUGGGUGAAGAAGGCCUUCGGGUUGUAAAGCCCUUUUGUUGGGAAAGAAAAGCAGCAGGUUAAUACCCCGCUGUUCUGACGGAACCCAAAGAAUAAGCACCGGCUAACUUCGUG
rnacentral:rRNA from 1 species